rnacentral:lncRNA from 1 species
GAUAAAACCAAGAUGAAGGACAAAUCACAGAGAUCUGCAAGCUUGUCUGCUAAACCUGCUCCUCCAAAGCCAGAGCCCAAGCCUAAAAGGGCCCCUACAAAGAAGAGAGAGAAGGUACACAAAGGGAAAAAGGGAAAAGCUGAUAUUGGCAAGGAGGAGAAUAACCCUGCACAACAUGGAGAUGCCAAAACAGACCGGGCACAGAAAGCUGAAUGUGUUGGAGAUGCCA